rnacentral:tRNA from 1 species
GAGAGAUGGCCGAGUGGCUGAAGGCAACGGUUUGCUAAACCGUCAUACGGUUGAAUAGCUGUAUCGGGGGUUCGAAUCCCCCUCUCUCC